rnacentral:rRNA from 1 species
CUGGUGUCAGCCGCCGCGGUAAUACCAGCUCUCCGAGUAGUAAGGAUGUUUAUUGGGCUUAAAGCGUCCGUAGCCGGCUCAGCAAGUCCUCCGUUAAAUCCAGCGAUUUAAUCGUUGGCCUGCGGGGGAUACUGUUGAGCUAGGGGACGGGAGAGGCCGACGGUAUUUCCGGAGUAGGGGUGAAAUCCUAUAAUUCCGGGAGGACCACCAGUGGCGAAGGCUGUCGGCCAGAACGAGCUCAACGGUGAGGGACGAAAGCUGGGGGAGCGAACCGGAUUAGAUACCCGGGUAGUCCCAGCUGUAAACGAUGCGGGCUAGGUGUUAGGGUGGCUACGAGCCACUCUAGUGCCGCAGCGAAGGCAUUAAGCCCGCCGCCUGGGGAGUACGGCCGCAAGGCUGAAACUUAAAGGAAUUGGCGGGAGAGCACCACAAGGCGUGAAGCGUGCGGUUUAAUUGGAGUCAACGCCGGAAACCUUACCGGGGGCGACAGCAGGUUGAAGGCCAGAUUGACGAUCUUGCUAGACAAGCU